AUUUCCACAAAUGCACAAGCCCCAAUCAUAAAUGAAAACACGGGAGAACAAACAGCUUCUGUUGUGGCUCUUAAAUGUGGCAUUCACCACAGCCAAAAUACCACAUGUAACAGCCUUCAUCAGAGACCUCAAAGUAACCAGCACCAAAAAAAGAAGAAAGAUUUGUGUGAAUUAGCUACAGGAAAAAACACCAAAUCCCAUAAGGUCCGUUUCCAAGGUCCAUUGCAGUUUUCCAGAAAUACUGAACAGAAAUGUAACUGUGUAAACUUGAAUAGUUGUAACAUAACAAGUGACUAUGGAAUUCAAACCAUUGCUUCAGAAAGUAAAUCUUUAGGGACUGUGACACAUCUUCCAGAGAAGGAAAAUGAAGAACACCUUUCUAGGGUCACACUUGGAGCACCUUCCUUUCUACAUCAAGUUUUCCUGGAAAUGGAGCAAGAUGCAUCACCUACUUCAACUGCAUCUGAGCCUAAAGAUCUGGACAGCAGUUUAGAAAACAAAAGUAUACAACAAUUAUGUAACCAGCAUUUCAUCCUUAAUGAAUCCACAGGAGACACGAAGGUUCAGGAUACUAUCAGCAAUGUACAUACAAGUAACAUUAUUUUAACAGACCCAUGUGAUUGGCAAAUGGCACAUAUCCCACAGAAGGCUCAGUGUUGUUGCACCUGUUCAGAAGAACAAUGCAACUUUAUAUCUGAAACAUCUGAUGAAGAACAAGACAGUUUCUCAGAUUCAUCUGUGACAGUAACAAGUAUUUUAGGUGCAUUAGAAAACCAACAGUCAGAAGAGGAGUUCACUAUAUCAUCUGUAUCUGAUAGCCUGAGUCUUGGAUCAUUAUAUGAUGUGCAUGAACAGAUGGAAGAAAACAUUUGUGUUGACCGAAAAGAGGAGGAAAACUCUGACUCCAGCAUAGGCCAUCUUGAUGAAAGAGUUCUAGAGGAAAUGCAGAAGAUUAGCACCUCGGAGAGGCUCUCUCAGACAAACUCCUUCCAUUUCAGGUAUUAAUAUUUAUUCUACCUGAAAAGAACCAGAAUAGGCUUUUAGUUUCCAUUUCAGGGAUCCACAUCUUUGAGUUGGUAUUAAAUAUUGGGGACCUGGUGAUGCCUUCCUUUUUAUAGCACUGCAGUAGUCUCACCUGAUGGUAAAAUCAUGGAUAACAAUGGGAUGGUUCAAAUUCAUAAGAGAGAAUGUAAGAUCCCUCUUAAGUGCAAGAUAAGAAUGAGUAUUACUUAUUCCGCCCCAAGGCACUUACAAUCUAAAUUGCUAUCUGGACAUCCAGAAACCCCUCAGGAUACAACAAAUUCCCCAACCAAACCAAGACAUGCCAUUAAUCAAAGAUACUGAUAUAAUUUCUGCCAUUUCCUCAGUUUGCUUCUCCCUCCAUAUAGGCACUAUCUCGGUCUUGUCUGGGCUGAAUCUCAGGCCUGGUCUACACUGGGAUGGGGGAGGAGGAGGAAGAAUCAAUCUAAGUUACGCAAUUUCAGCUAUGUGAAUAACAUAGCUGAAGUUGACGUAUUUAGAUCUACUUACCGCAGUGUCUUCACUGCAGCAAGUCGAUGGGAGAGCGCUCGGCGGUCGAUUUAUCGCGUCUAGACUAGACAUGAUAGAUCGACCCCCGCUGGAUUGAUUGCUGCCCAUCAAUCCAGCGGGUAAUGUAGACAAGCCCUAAGUCUGCUCAGCUCAUAUCGAUGCAUCAGUCUCUGUCAGGCAGUACUAUGAUGAAUUAAAUCUGAUGUCACUGAUUUUCAUACAGUUCUACAGAUGAAGAAGGGAGAGCAAAUAUGGAUCAUGCACUUAAGAGUGUCAAUACAAGUCAAGUACUGUAUUUCUGUCAUUUUCCACAUUACGUUAGUACAUAACUAAUCAGAUCAGUAGUAAACUGUUAGAAUAAAAAAUGCUUAAAAUCAACUUAAGAUGCCA
rnacentral:lncRNA from 1 species